AACGAACGCUGGCGGCAGGCUUAACACAUGCAAGUCGAACGCGUGUAGCAAUACACGAGUGGCGCACGGGUGAGUAACGCGUGGAUAUCUGCCUUUUGGUUCGGAAUAACCCCGGGAAACUGGGGCUAAUACCGGAUGGUUCCUUCGGGAUAAAGAUUUAUCGCCAAAAGAUGAGUCCGCGUACGAUUAGCUAGUUGGUGAGGUAAUGGCUCACCAAGGCGACGAUCGUUAGCUGGUCNGAGAGGACGAUCAGCCACACUGGGACUGAGACACGGCCCAGACUCCUACGGGAGGCAGCAGUGGGGAAUCUUGCGCAAUGGGCGAAAGCCUGACGCAGCGACGCCGCGUGAGGGAUGACGGCCU
rnacentral:rRNA from 1 species